rnacentral:ncRNA from 1 species
UCCGACAGGUCCGGGAAACCCGUUGAACACCGGUCGUGCUAGGGAUAGGGAAUUGCAAUUAUUUCCCUUGAACGAGGAAUUCCCAGUAAGCGCGAGUCAUUAGCUCGCGUUGAUUACGUCCCUGCCCUUUGUACACACCGCCCGUCGCUACUACCGAUUGAAUGGUUUAGUGAGGUCCUCCGAUUGGACCCGGUCCGGGCGGCGACGUCCGAGCCGGCGUCCGAGAAGACGAUCUAACUUGAUCAUUUAGAGGAAGUAAAAGUCGUAACAAGGUUUCCGUAGGUGAACCUGCGGAAGGAUCAUUA